rnacentral:rRNA from 1 species
CCUACGGGUGGCAGCAGUGAGGAAUAUUGGUCAAUGGGCGCGAGCCUGAACCAGCCAAGUCGCGUGAGGGAAGACGGUCCUAUGGAUUGUAAACCUCUUUUGUCGGGGAGCAAAAGACGCCACGCGUGGCGUUCCGAGAGUACCCGAAGAAAAAGCAUCGGCUAACUCCGUGCCAGCAGCCGCGGUAAUACGGAGGAUGCGAGCGGUAUCCGGAUUUAUUGGGUUUAAAGGGUGCGCAGGCGGAAGAUCAAGUCAGCGGGAAAAUUGAGAGGCUCAACCUCUUCGAGCCGUUGAACCUGUUUUUCUUGAGUGAGCGAGAAGUAUGCGGAAUGCGUGGUGUAGCGGUGAAAUGCAUAGAUAUCACGCAGAACUCCGAUUGCGAAGGCAGCAUACCGGCGCUCAACUGACGCGCAUGCACGAAAGUGUGGGUAUCGAACAGGAUUAGAUACCCCUGUAGUC